CUCCCUCCCUCUUCCCUGCCAGCAUCUUAUGUGUCUGACCCCCCUGCCUGCCUCUCAUGAGGACACUUGGGAUUGCAUUUAGGGCUUGCCUGAAUCAUCCAGAGCAAUCUCCUCAUCUCAGCACCAUUCAUCAUAUCGACACAGUUCCUUCUGCCAAGUGAGUGUCCAGCGAAGCCUGCCCUGGACUUCCAUCACUGACUCCGGUUCUCCCUCACUGUGAGCCCAGCUGCUCGCCAGGGACACCAGUUCUGGAGGCCCACCUGCCUGAGGCCGGCAUUCAUUUGAGAAAUGUGGGAAAUGUCAGCACCGUGGGCUGUGGCUGGCUGGCUGGGCGAGGAAAUGGGAGCAUCCAUAUGCCUCAUUCCUUUUCCUUCAUCUGUCCCAGAGACUGUUCUGCAUCACCUUGGACAGACCCACGUCUUCUUUCCCACUGACUGAGAGCUGCGUGUUGGUAUACGGACAUCAAGCUGAAUUUAUCCACUGCUCACUCCAGAGGCAUCAGGCUGUUCUGGGCCUUCACUCUAGUAAACAGAGUUGCAUGGAACAUCGCUCCUGCACGCUUGUAGGAAUGUGCCUUGGCACACAUGUGCUGGUGCCAUAGACAAUGUGGGGAGCCUCCUCCGAGGCAGAACUGUGCUGGGGGACCUUCCAUCGUGCUCCUGCCCAAAGCAACACAAUGCCCUGCGGUCUCGUCACUUUAGGUGUUUCGUGGGGGGACUCACUCUCACCAGAGAGCAAAGAUGUUCCAUCAGCUUGAUUUUCAAAUGACUUAACCACAGAAUCUACCUCGUCAGCCCUUGGUUUGUGAAUAUGAGUCCUUCCCUGGAAAACACUGUUAUUAAAAAAAAAAAAAGAAGAAGCAGCAGCAGCAGAAGAA